rnacentral:lncRNA from 10 species
AGCUUGAGAAUCCUGGCAUAGCCAGGCCAUGUGGAGUAGCGGGCACGCUGUGAGGGACAAGAGAUUACAGCGAGCUCAGAAGCAGAGCAAGGAAAACAUGAAGAACGGGGAAAGUAGCUGCCGCAUGCCAAUGUGAAACUCCGAGGAGUCUAGCCAUUCUGAUCUGGCCUUCCAGGUCAUUAGGAGGCUCUGCCAUCGUGUGAGGAGGUAUGCUAUAUUUUAUCUAGCAGUUUGUUAGCUUGCUUUAAAACUUUUAAUACUUAGACAUUUGGUUUGUGACCCUGCCAGGGAAAGCCUGCUGUCUGGAGAGCACACUGGUCUCCAGCGUGGGGAGAGAGAGCACUUUCGGGCUUUGCUGAGGAGGGUCUUCAGAAAAAAGAGUAAGUUGGCAUCUCCUCGCACAGGUGCUUGGCUUGCCAGACCUAGGGGCAUUCUCACAUCACCUUUUCAGCUGAGGAAACUGAAAGUCCCAAGGUCACGCAGCUGGGAAUAUAUGACCAAACGGCCUUCACCUUCCCCUAAAUGAUGUUUCAAAUGACAAAAUAAGGGGACAAGGA